rnacentral:lncRNA from 1 species
CUUAGAAAACUUGACCUGACCAACUUGACCUCGAAAAUACUAUUGUCCUGACCGAUAUGAAACGGCUAAAAAAUAAUUUAUUAUUGACAGGAUAGACUUCAAAUUCGAUAUCAAGGAAGAUUAAAUCAUUUAUUACAAAAAUAUAAGAAAAAAAAAAAAAAAAUAUUUAAGAGUUAGAAAACUUGACCUGACCAACUUGACCUCGAAAAUACUAUUGUCCUGACCGAUAUGAAACGGCUAAAAAAUAAUUUAUUAUUGACAGGAUAGACUUCAAAUUCGAUAUCAAGGAAGAUUAAAUCAUUUAUUACAAAAGUAUAAGGAAAAAAAGAAAAAAAAAAUAUUUUAAGAGUUAGAAAACUUGACCUGACCAACCACGUCCAGCCGUGACAAAUGUCCUGACCGAUAUAAAACUGGUAAUUUAUUUCUCAAAUUCGGUCGGAUUGACUUUAAAUUUGACACAAAACAAGAAAGUAACAUUGAGUAAAUACUCAUUUGGAAAAAAUUAGGGGGAAAAUACUUAAAGGGUAAAAAAACUUGACCUGACGAACAUCGACUUUGUUGUGAGUAAAUGUCCUGACCGAUAAAAAGUGCUAAUACUUGCAACAUUGUUGGUAUGAUUGAGUUCUUAAUUGAAACCAAGUCAAAUUGUAACGUUUUUAUUUUUGUACUUGCUGCAAUAAAUUGGAAACAAAAUAUUUCAAAGGAAAUAAAUACUUGACUUAACCCCUUAAACUUAAUACACAAACAACAACAUUUUUAGUUCUUACCUUAUAUUGUAAUUGAAUUUAUAUAUUUCCUAUCCAUAAAAUACAACAUCCAAAGCAAAUAAAUUUUGUUAAAUGAAAAGAUAGGGGAAAUAUGAGUUGCUGAGUGACUGUGAGUAUUGUUUACCCCUUUGUAACACAAAUCUACUUAAUUUGAU